CAGCGGUGGCAGCAACACCGGCUUGGGCCCCCUCCCUCCUCCGUUCCCCCUCCUCCCUCUCCCCUCAGCCGUGGUUCCUGAGGAGUCCGAGCCGUGUGGAGGGGCGGCCGCAAGCUCCAGGAAGAAUGUCAAGGCAGCAAGCAACCAGUACCUUGAAGCAUGCAGUUGUGAUAACAUUAAUGGAUUUGGCAUUAUUCCAGAUGUUUCUGGUAGAGGGUCAAUUCACUACUCUGAAAGUACAUUCUCCCAAGAAGAAGGGACAGAAAGAAAGACCUCUUUGUAAGAAAGCCUUGAGUAUCCCAUGAACGAGCCAGCAGAAAACCGACUGGGGUGCAGCAGGACUCCAGAGCCAAAUAUAAGGCUCAGAAAAGGGCACCAGCUUGAUGGUACAAGGGGAGGUGAUAAUGACAACCACCAAGGAGAUUUGGAGCCUAUUAUAGAGGCAUCUGUUCUUUCUUCCCAUCAUAGAAAAACCUCUGAGGAGCAUGAGUGCAUUGAUGAAGCUUCUCAGGAAGAUGACGGGUUUAUGGGGAUGUCCCUUCUCUUACAAGCCCAUCAUGCUAUGGAAAGAAUGGAAGAGUUUGUUUCUAAGGUCUGGGAAGGACGGUGGCGAGUAAUCCCUCAUGAUGUACUACCAGACUGGCUCAAGGAUAACGACUUCCUUCUACAUGGACACCGGCCUCCUAUGCCUUCAUUCCGAGCCUGUUUUAAGAGCAUUUUCAGAAUACACACAGAGACAGGCAACAUCUGGACACAUCUCUUAGGUUGUGUAUUCUUCCUGUGCCUGGGGAUCUUUUAUAUGUUCCGCCCAAACAUCUCCUUUGUGGCCCCUCUGCAAGAGAAAGUGGUCUUUGGAUUAUUUUUCUUGGGAGCCAUUCUCUGCCUUUCUUUUUCUUGGCUCUUCCAUACAGUCUACUGCCACUCAGAAGGGGUUUCCCGGCUCUUCUCUAAACUGGAUUACUCUGGUAUUGCUCUUCUGAUUAUGGGAAGUUUUGUUCCUUGGCUUUAUUAUUCUUUCUACUGUAAUCCACAACCUUGCUUCAUCUACUGGAUUGUCAUCUGUGUGCUGGGCAUUGCAGCCAUUAUAGUCUCCCAGUGGGACAUGUUUGCCACUCCUCAGUAUCGGGGAGUAAGAGCAGGUGUGUUUUGGGGCCUAGGCCUGAGUGGAAUCAUUCCCACCUUGCACUAUGUCAUCUCCAGGGAUUCCUGAAGGCUGCCACCAUAGGUCAGAUUGGCUGGUUGCUGUUGAUGGCCAGCCUCUACAUUACAGGGGCAGCCCUAUAUGCUGCCCACAUCCCUGAAAGCUUCUUUCCUGGCAAAUGUGAUAUCUGGUUUCACUCUCAUCAGUUGUUUCAUAUCUUCGUGGUUGCCGUAGCUUUUGUUCACUUCCAUGGUGUCUCAAACCUGCAGGAGUUACGUUUCAUGAUCGGCGGGGGCUGCAGUGAGGAGGAUGCACUGUGACACCUACCAGGAGCCAGGGACUUGACCCUGAACCUGCAGGCCUCUCUGCCAGCCACUCAUGCCAGUACCAAAGGAGCCCCCAAAGUUUGACAGCCUCUUGGGCUUUGUGACAGCCCAGGGGCUCCACAUGGUACACAGCUGAGAAGAGAAAAACAAAAUAAAUCAUACCUCAAAGGAUGAAGUGCAUCAAUAUGGAGAAUUGGCCCAAAGCCUGACUUACUCUUGGGAUCUCCAGAUUGAGGGCUCUGCAAGACCCUUGGCAAACUGGCUUCUGAUCCGUAUCAUAUUUAUUUGUAUAAGAUGGGGAACCAGUUUGGCUGACGGUUUUUUCUUCUCCCUUUCUCUCUCCUUAAAACAAUAAUACAAACCAAUUUAGGUGAACAUUUAUAUCCAGUUAAUGGGUGGGAGUGUGAUUUUCAAUGCUCUUUUGGGAGAACAAAGAAAUUGAUGUAAAUAAGAUUUCUAACUUACUGUUUAAGAAUUUAUAUAAAUGUUUAAAACAUAGGGGUAGAGAAGGGAGGGAGAAUUUUCUCAUAGAACAAAACAUGCAAGUACCACACACUGUUUCAAUUUUGCACAAAGUGACUGUAGGAGGAUCAGAUGAUGGCCCCAAAUGUACAAUAUCUUGGUACAUCAAGGUGCCUUCUAAAGGCUGACAUACCUUGGACCUGAGCGGAGUGGAGAGUCGAACCCAGCCGGGUGAUCACACGACCACUCUCAAGCCUGAGAGCCUUUGGGAGUCCUGAGGGAAAUGGUAUGUUUUUUCCCAGUGGAAGCAGAACAUGAGUGGCUGGCAGGAUGGGUUAGAUAAAGGCUUUGGUUAAGGUGUCAUUUGAGAGACUGACUUGUAGGCUGACAGUGACCCUCUCUAAGGAGUAGAGCCACCUGCUUCUACCAUCCAUGCUGGUAAAGGGGUGGUGGAGAUAGUGAAGGAGCUCUGGAAAUGUUAGCACGGGCUGAUCUGGUUACUUCCUGGCAUCCUGCUCAAGUUUGUGGAUAAUUCUUAUUAGAGAAGUGUUACAGUUUUCCAUAUUUUUGCUAUGGAUCUCUGGAACACCCUGUAAAUUUCCUCUAUUCUCUGCCCAACUGCCCGCCCUUCUGGGAAUAAAAAUUGACCUUUCCCUGGCAUCCUAAUUCCUAGCAUGGAGCCAGCCACAAAUGAGAUUCUGACUUGUCCAGGUGCCUCCUCUUUUGACAUAAGUUGAGAGAACCCUUCGUUAGGAUUAGGAAGGAUGAGUCUCACCUCUGGGCCACUGUCUUGUUAAGUGUAGGUGUGACAGACACCUCAGCUCUCCUUGAACUAGAAAACCAAUGGAAGUCUUGGGAAGCAGAGUCCAUUUCCCACUGUGGAGCUGUCAGCUGUCAUUGAGCCCGACUGCACAGGGAUAGGGUGUUAAGAAGUGUUAGAGGAAAUAGUAUGUUAUUGCCAGAGAGUCUGGUAGAGUCCUUAAGGCUGUGUCUUUGAAUUCUUGCUAGAAGUACAAAAUGAUUGCUCAUGUUUCAGAGCCACCGUGCUGUGGUGUCAGGGAGAGUGGUGGAGGAAGGAUCUGGUUCAUAGAGUCCUAAUCUUGGCUUAUAGGUGAACCACACUUUGGCACUUGAGUCUUAGGUUACUGUCAUCAAAGACUUGGGGUGACUCUAUCACAUCCUGGGGAUUAUGGGACUAAAUUGAGGCCCUUGGCCUCAGGGCUAGCAUCCUCAGUGGGUGUUUGGGAAUAUGGGAAGGGUCUCUUUAUUCAGUAGAGUUUUCUUAGUUAUUUUUCUCCUUUCUUUCCCCUUUUAAUCUCCAGCAAAAGCUGGAAUCCAGGAAGAAAGAAACCAAUGUAGAAGUUGGGAAGAACUUAAGAGUAUUUUGGUUCUGGAUAAAGUCACUGCCCUGGGUGCUAGGUGGUCUGAGAGGAGACUCAGUGGGUAAAUUGUGGCAGUGCCUGACGGAAUAUAGAGCAGUAUUAAUCCCUUUGAGAAAAUGUAGUCCGGUAGGACAGUGGCCAUCUGGAUGGAAGCUCACUUAGUUUCAUGGGAGCAACAGCACAUAUCAGAAGCCAGACUUGCUCUUCGGUCAUGCACUUUGGGACACAGGGUAUGAGAUGCAGCCCUGUUAUAACACCAACAGAAGUAGCAGCCUCUGGGCCCAGUCACCCACACCCCAAAGCAGGAAGAAUCUGGUUCAACAUAGCACAAACCCUUAGGAAAAAUGAAAUUACCAUCACCAAUGUGGAAUCCAGUAAAAAUCUCCCUCUUUUGGGUGUGUAUGUGGGCAUGUGUGUGCCCAUUUGUAUGUGUGUGUCUGUGUGCAACUCACUACCAACAGCCUCAAUGUGCACUUGACCUUACAGUGCUCGCUGAGAACUCUCACCAGGUUGGCGCCUGAAUGCCUUACUCUCAGCAGUCAGAGGCUUGCUUGCUCUGUGCAGAUUUUUAAUUUUCUUUUUUUGGCCCUAGGCUUGUUAGGACCUCUACAGCUUCAUUUUUCCAUCAUUAAAUAGUGGCCUUUUUCAGUAUUUCCCCCCCUUCCCCUUUAUAAAUUGCUGAAGCCACAAAGCACAUUUUUGGGGAUCAUAGAAGGUUGGGGUUCCAGAAGGGCAUCUGUGUAAUGGUUCAUUCACCGUGGGAGUUCCCUACUUGCCGUAUUCUCAAUUUCUUCUAAUAAAAAGAACCAAAUGAAAAAAAA